rnacentral:rRNA from 1 species
GAAUGUUAUCACGGGAGACACACGGCGGGUGCUAACGUCCGUCGUGAAGAGGGAAACAACCCAGACCGCCAGCUAAGGUCCCAAAGUCAUGGUUAAGUGGGAAACGAUGUGGGAAGGCACAGACAGCCAGGAUGUUGGCUUAGAAGCAGCCAUCAUUUAAAGAAAGCGUAAUAGCUCACUGGUCGAGUCGGCCUGCGCGGAAGAUGUAACGGGGCUAAACCAUGCACCGAAGCUGCGGCAGCGACACUAUGUGUUGUUGGGUAGGGGAGCGUUCUGUAAGCCUGCGAAGGUGACCUGUGAGGGUUGCUGGAGGUAUCAGAAGUGCGAAUGCUGACAUAAGUAACGAUAAAGCGGGUGAAAAGCCCGCUCGCCGGAAGACCAAGGGUUCCUGUCCAACGUUAAUCGGGGCAGGGUGAGUCGACCCCUAAGGCGAGGCCGAAAGGCGUAGUCGAUGGGAAACAGGUUAAUAUUCCUGUACUUGGUGUUACUGCGAAGGGGGGACGGAGAAGGCUAUGUUAGCCGGGCGACGGUUGUCCCGGUUUAAGCAUGUAGGCUGGUUAUCCAGGCAAAUCCGGAUAAUCAAGGCUGAGGUGUGAUGACGAGGCACUACGGUGC